GAAAUGCGAUAAGUAAUGUGAAUUGCAGAAUUCAGUGAAUCAUCGAAUCUUUGAACGCACAUUGCUCCUAUUAGUAUUCUAGUAGGCAUGCCUGUUUGAGUAUCAUGAAAUCUUCAAAGUAAAUCUUUUGUUAACUCAAUUGGUUUCUACUUUGGUAUUGGAGGUCUUUGCAGCUUCACACCUGCUCCUCUUUGUUCAUUAGCUGGAUCUCAGUGUUAUGCUUGGUUCCACUCGGCGUGAUAAGUUAUCUAUCGCUGAGGACACUGUAAAAGGUGGCCAAGGUAAAUGCAGAUGAACCGCUUCUAAUAGUCCAUUGACUUGGACAAUACUUUUAUGAUCUGAUAUCAAAUCAGGUAGGACUACCCGCUGAACUUAAGC
rnacentral:misc_RNA from 1 species